UCAAUUCAUGGUAAACCGCACCUUGCCAUGGUAGCCUCCUUUAAUUGGGUUCAGCUGGGAAGACUUGCAUGGAGGACAAACAGUUUUGGAGCGUGUGGUGUGGUGUGUGGUCAGGUCUCGCUGCUGUGACAAUGUGCCAUUCAAGUACUGGACAUUCAAUCAUUUGCAGGCGUCAAACUGGUCAACACAGUCGCCCUCAGUAUCAGCCCAAAGGGACACCAGUCACUGGGAACUCCUCCAACCAUUGAAGAUGCUCUCCCUCCUGACAGAUGCUGUGUUCCUCCUCUUCCUCUUUAAAAUGGGAGAGUGAAGAUGUUCUUCACAGACGUCUGCAGGACACAAGAAGACAAAAAUGCUCGAGAGGAGUGCAUCUUUUUUUCAGUCACAUGUUAGGAGCGAUAUUGAUAAGAUUUUACCAAUUCAGAUUUCCUUUUCAAUUCUGCUUUACAAUUCAGUUAUUUGUGGACUCACUUUUGCUUUCAAAUUCGGUUAAAAGGAGAAGAAACAGGUCAAUUAGCACCAACAGUGAGGUCUUAAGAGGCCCAGACCUUACGGUUACCCCAUGGGGUGCCAGAGGGCCCUAAUGACUAUAUUCUGCUUUGAAAAUAUCUAUAAAAAAUAUUUUUGGCUAUAAAUUAAUUAGAUACUACACGUUAUUUUUGUGGUAUUACACAAAACUUUCCCCCAGAAGGUUUUAUCUUUGUCCAUGUGAUGUCAGAUGAAACAAAAAUCGAGCUGUUU